rnacentral:rRNA from 1 species
CCUACGGGAGGCAGCAGUGGGGAAUCUUGCGCAAUGGGCGAAAGCCUGACGCAGCAGCGCCGCGUGCGGGAAGAAGGCCUUAGGGUUGUAAACCGCUUUCAGUAGGAACGAAAAUGACGGUACCUGCAGAAGAAGGUGCGGCCAACUACGUGCCAGCAGCCGCGGUGACACGUAGGCACCAAGCGUUGUCCGGAUUUAUUGGGCGUAAAGAGCUCGUAGGCGGUUCAGUAAGUCGGGUGUGAAAACUCUGGGCUUAACCCAGAGCCGCCACUCGAUACUGCUGUGACUUGAGUUCGGUAGGGGAGCAGGGAAUUCCUAGUGUAGCGGUGAAAUGCGCAGAUAUUAGGAGGAACACCGGUGGCGAAGGCGCUGCUCUGGGCCGAUACUGACGCUGAGGAGCGAAAGCGUGGGUAGCAAACAGGAUUAGAUACCCUGGUAGUCCACGCCGUAAACGUUGGGCACUAGGUGUGGGUUCCACCAACGGAAUCCGCGCCGUCGCUAACGCAUUAAGUGCCCCGCCUGGGGAGGUACGGCGGCGACGACAAACCUACAAUAGAAUAGACGGCGUGAGACGUGCCGAACGGACGACCGACGAGGGAGGUAGG